CCUCAUCCCACUCCGAGGCGAAGGAGGGUGACUUCUCUAGCCUUUUCUUCCCAAUGCUGCAGUUGGAUAAGGACUCACUCCGACUCCCCAUGGUAGCGUCCUCUGUGGGUGAGCAGGUCAGGAGAUCAGAGUCAGACUUGGACAAGCUGCGGCUGAGUUUGAGUUCAGCUUUGGGUUUGCUAGUGGGAGGCGCUCGGCUCCUGGCCCCACUCCGGUCUCCUUCCUCAGCACCACCAGGGUGCGGAGAUGCUGUGUGAGUCA
rnacentral:lncRNA from 1 species